GAGUGGGAAGCCGGGUGUGUGUCUGACUUGGGUGUGUGUGCGUGCGUGAGAGAGAGCGAGAGAGAGCGAGAGAGCGAGAGAGAGAGAAGUGAGGAGUUGUGUAAAACAGUCUGAAGUCCUGCGCUGCGCUCUCCGCUGUUGCGUCGUCACAGACUGGACUCGGCACCGGAUCCGGACGUGCUGUCCGACCGCAGGCCUCUCGGAUCGAGGAUGUAAAGCAAAGGAAGUGGCACCGACACACCCUGCCGACGGUCCGCGGAGCCCAGGGCGAGGCGCGCUCCGACCGAACUCCGCCGGAGCGGGUCGCUGGUCGAGGCGGGCGCGUUCCCGCUGGCUGCGGGGCGCUGUGCGCGGUUCUGCGGGAUCCACUCGAGUUCCCGUCGGCCUGGGUUGGCCCGUGGCAGCUCGAUGACCUACUUUGCGCGGCCGCGGUAUCAGAAGCCGCCUUUGACGCGACUUUACGCAGGAAAGUGCAGCCUGCGUUGCUCGUUCUCAGACUGAGGUGUGGAAUUUAUCCUCCAUAUUCCAAGGUCGCCACAAGAUUACGUUCUCUGAACACCUUCUGCAUAGAUAUGUUGGUCUUCCUCCAGCACGUUUGAGCUCCAUGAGAACGGUUCACUUCCUGCACGUGACCUUUUAUUCCUAACUUAAGAAACCUGCCGGCACAAAAUCCCAAAGAAAGAACAAGUGAAGGCCUAAGUGAGGCUAGCUGCUAACGUCUGCAUGCUAACGCAGUCGCAAAUGUUAACGUAGCACUCGUUAACGUUUAACUAUAACUAUGUGAUAAUAAUAAUAAGAAAUAAAUCCCUUUAGUAAAAGACCUGAAGCCCAAAUGACUUCUUAAAGUAUUUCAGGAUCGGUGCCGUCUACUCCUCUUCAUCACUUCUCGCCCCUGCGUUGUAACCACGGUAACUGCAAAUAAAUAAAUAAAUCCCAACAAGCGCUUCCUGGUCAGGGAUGCUGAGCAUCUUGCAGCGUUUCUUGGCAGGCGGCGCCGAGCUGCUGAGGGUUAUUUGAUGCCCGACACCGCGGACGACCCCGUCGUUGGCUCCGCCGCCUCGCGCCCACGCCGCCGCCGAGGCCCGAGGACGGCGCCCGAGCAGCGCCUGCUGCUCUGUUCCUGCCGGAACGCGCUCACGCACAGCGGUUCUUCACUGGCAAGCUUUAUGUUCCUGUACACAUGCUAAAGCUGCCAGCUGAAGAACUGCUGCGGUCGGCCCUGCCCCGACGCCGCAGGAGGAGGAAGCAGAGUGGACUCAAGCGGCCGCUGUUCAGUUAUUGAUGUGUCUUUACACAUAUGAUCAAUAUUUCUAUCAUGUUUUAAAACAUCUGCUCAAAUAGAAACUCAAGCUGUUUCCAUCGUUAUUACUUUUAUGAUGACUUCAUACUUUUUAACAAUUAUUAACCUGCAUUUCAAGUUUUAUUAAAGAAACAAUAAAACAUCUUACAUUUAA